rnacentral:rRNA from 1 species
AGAGUUUGAUCCUGGCUCAGGAUGAACGCUGACAGAAUGCUUAACACAUGCAAGUCUUUGGCGAAGCUGUGCUUGCACAGCCUAGCCAAGGCGGACGGGUGAGUAACGCGUAAGGAACUUGCCCUGCAGUCAGGGAUAACAGACGGAAACGACUGAUAAGACCUGGUAAAGUCAGGCGGACUCAUGUCCAGCCUGAUGAAAAGAGAUGCUGCAGGAGAGCCUUGCGUCCUAUUAGCUUGUUGGUGGGGUAACGGCCCACCAAGGCGAUGAUAGGUAGCCGGCCUGAGAGGGUGGACGGCCACAAGGGGACUGAGAUACGGCCCUUACUCCUACGGGAGGCAGCAGUGGGGAAUAUUGGACAAUGGGGGCAACCCUGAUCCAGCAAUUCUGUGUGCACGAUGAAGGUUUUCGGAUUGUAAAGUGCUUUCAGCAGGGAAGAAAAAAAUGACGGUACCUGCAGAAGAAGCGACGGCUAAAUACGUGCCAGCAGCCGCGGUAAUACGUAUGUCGCAAGCGUUAUCCGGAAUUAUUGGGCAUAAAGGGCAUCUAGGCGGCCAGAUAAGUCUGGGGUGAAAACUUGCGGCUCAACCGCAAGCCUGCCCUGGAAACUAUGUGGCUAGAGUACUGGAGAGGUGGACGGAACUGCACGAGUAGAGGUGAAAUUCGUAGAUAUGUGCAGGAAUGCCGAUGAUGAAGAUAGUUCACUGGACGGUAACUGACGCUGAAGUGCGAAAGCUAGGGGAGCAAACAGGAUUAGAUACCCUGGUAGUCCUAGCU